CAUGUGGACAUGAAGGCGUUGCUGGAGGAAGCAAGCUGCAUAUAAAUGAACGCCAGUCGACAUGCAAGGCUACAGCAAAACCAGGAGCACGAUGAGAGGAGGAUUUCAGUUUCUCAUUUUGGUGGUUACCACCACAGUUUUCAGUGUUGCAGAAGAUGCGGUGUAUCAUUGUCCAAAUGGCCAAGAAACAAUUCAAUCCAGGGAUGGCACUGCAAAAUCCUCAGGGUGCAGCCUAAAGAAUGAUCCUUUCGUCUUUGCAGAAAAAAACAUAAAUUUAAACAUCAGAAGCUCCAACAACUACAACAACAACAACAACAACAACAACAACAACGAUCCAGAGAGAGAGAUUGCUUUUGUGCUGGAUGGCUCUGGCAGUAUUGAUCCUCCUGACUUUGAACUGGCUAAAGGAUUUAUUGCUGAAGUAAUGACAACAGUUCAG